UGGGGAUAUGGCUCAGUUGGUAGAGUGCAUGCCUGUCAAACAUGAGGCCCUGGGUUCAAUUCCCAGCACCACAA